UACAGAGGUCUCAAGCGUUGUUCGGAUUCAUUGGGCGUAAAGGGUGCGUAGGUGGCGGGGCAAGUCUGGUGUGAAAUCCCGGGGCUCAACCCUGGAACUGCACUGGAUACUGCUUUGCUAGAGUACUGGAGAGGGAACUGGAAUUUACGGUGUAGCAGCGAAAUGCGUAGAUAUCGUAAGGGAGACCAGUGGCGAAGGCGAGUUCCUGGACAGUUACUGACACUGAGGCACGAAGGCCAGGGGAGCAAACGGG
rnacentral:rRNA from 1 species